UAUAUAUUUAUCCGUUUGUUUCGUUCAAUUCUCGAAUUUUGGACGGGAAGGAGACAAGAGGUAAUCUCUCGCGUCGAAGAUUACACGUAUAAUAGAAGUGAAUUCGAUCGAAAGUUUUCUCGGUUGCAAAUUAAUCUAACCUAACAUCGAGCCAGACACGUCACAAGGCAAGAGGUUAAGUGGAUAUAUAGUUAUACUUUGCAAUGAGAAUUUGAAGGCAUGACGAGGCAGGAUGAACAAACGCGGAUGCAAAAGAAGUCUCUGAAUGAGCGAUGCCUACGGACAGUAUGGAGCUUCUCCAGUUAUUAGCAUCUACUCCGGCUAUCCUUGUGUAUAUACGUAUCCGUGUGGCGCGCGCACAAGCCCGAAAGGGAACAGAGCGGUCAUUAUGGAGAUUGAAACACCGUUCGAAAAAACUUCGACUCGAAUGGAACCAAACUCACCUCUCCAAAUCUAAUUCAAUACCACUGGUACAUCUUGGAAAAAAUUUUCGAGUCGAAUCGAAUUAAAAAUUCGAAAAUUAAGAGAAGAAAAAGAAGAAACUAAAAUAAUUAAUAUACUUUAAUAUAUUUAUAUUAUUAAUUAUCAUUAAUAUACUUUAAAAAAAGUUUCCAUUCGAAUGGAACCAAAUUCACCUCUCCAAAUCUAAUUCAAUACCACUAAUAUACCUUGAAAAAAAUUUUCGAAUCGAAUCGAAUGAAAAAUUCGAAGAAGAAA